UACGUAGGGUGCAAGCGUUGUCCGGAAUUAUUGGGCGUAAAGAGCUCGUAGGCGGUCUGUCGCGUCGGAUGUGAAAACUCGGGGCUCAACCCUGAGCCUGCAUUCGAUACGGGCAGACUAGAGUUCGGUAGGGGAGACUGGAAUUCCUGGUGUAGCGGUGAAAUGCGCAGAUAUCAGGAGGAACACCGGUGGCGAAGGCGGAUCUCUGGGCCAUUACUGACGCUGAGGAGCGAAAGCGUGGGGAGCGAACAGG
rnacentral:rRNA from 1 species